rnacentral:rRNA from 1 species
UACAGAGGUGGCAAGCGUUGUUCGGAAUUACUGGGCGUAAAGGGCGCGUAGGCGGCCUUCUAAGUCAGACGUCAAAUCCCCAGGCUUAACUUGGGAACUGCGUCUGAUACUGGGAGGCUUGAGUGCGGGAGAGGGAUGUGGAAUUCCAGGUGUAGCGGUGAAAUGCGUAGAUAUCUGGAGGAACACCGGUGGCGAAGGCGGCAUCCUGGACCGACACUGACGCUGAGGCGCGAAAGCUAGGGGAGCAAACGGG